GCGCGCAUCAGAGCGCAUUAUGCGAUGAGCGCAUUAUGCGAAAUGCGCGCAAUAUUCUCGCAUCACGUAAACGCAUCGCAUCAGCUGUUGCGAUGCGCUCUCAUUAGCGCAUCGGGCGCAUCACGCAUUAUGCGCGCAUUAUGCGCGCAUUUUAAAACCAAGAUGUAGAGCAGCAGGCUCGCAAGGAAGCAGGCUCGCAAGGAGACUGGUGUGCUCGUAUGUAGAGCAGCAGGCUGGCAUGGAGGCUGACGUGCUCGUAUGUAAAGAAGCAUGCUCGUAUAGCGACUUACGUGCUCGUAUGUAGAGUAGCAUACUCGCAUUGAGACUGAGAUGCUCGUAUGUAAAGGAGCAUGCGCGCAUGGCGUCUUACGUGCUCGUAUGUAGGACAGCAGACUCGCACGGCGUCUGAGAUGCUCGUAUGUAAAAGAGCAUGCGCGUAUGGCGACUUACGUGAACGUAAGUAAGGGAGCAUGCGAGUAUGGCGACUUACAUGCUCGUAUGUAGAGCAGCAGGCCCGUAAGGAGACUGGUGUGCUCGUAUGUAGAGCAGCAGACUCGUAUGGCGACUGAGAUGCUCGUAUGUGAAGGAGCAGGCGUGCUCGCUAGUAUGUAGAGCAUGUGCCGGCCGGCGCAUGUGUGCUCGGUUGUAAGUAAAGGCUUGCUCGUAACUAGAGGAGCAAGUGCCUGCUAGCGCAUGUGUGAUCGCUCGUAAGUGGAGGCUCGCUCGUAAUUAGAGGAACAUGCGCCAGCCGGCGCAUGUGUGCUCGCUGGUAAGCAGAGGAGCAUGCGCCAGCCGGCACAUGUGUUCUCGCUCGUAAGUGGAGGCUCGCUCGUAAGGGGAGGAGCAUGUGCCUGUCGGCGCAUGUGUGCUCGCUCGUAAGUAUGUAAAGGAGCAUGCGUCAGCCGGCGCAUGUGUGCUCGCUCAUAAGUGGAGGCUCGCUCGUAAGUAUGUAGAGGAACAUGCGCCAGCCGGCGCAUGUGUGCCCACUAGUAAGCAGAGGGGCAUGCGCCAGCCGGCGCAUGUAUGCUCGCUCAUAAGGGAGAAUGCGCGUAUGGCGACUUACGUGCUCGUACGUAGAGCAGUAGACUAGCAUUGAGACUGAUAUGCUCGUAUGUAAAGUAUGUAAAGAAGCAUGCGCGCGUGGCGACUUACGUGCUCGUAUGUAGAGCGGCAGGCUCGCACGGGGACUGAGAUGCUCGUAUGAAAAGGAGCAUGCGCGUAUGGCGACUUACUUGCUCGUAUGUAGAGUAGCAAGCUCGCAAGAAAACUGGUAUGCUCGUAUGUAGAGCAGCAGACUCGCAUGAAGACUGAGAUGCUCGUAUGUAAAGGAGCAGGUGUGCUCCUUCGUAUGUAUAGGAGCAUGUGUGCUCGCUCGUAAGGAGAGACUUGCUCGUAAGUAGAAGAGCACGCGCCAGCCGGCGCAUUUGUGAUCGCUCGUAAGUGGAGGCUCGCUCGUAAUUAGAGGAGCAUGCGCCAGCCGGCACAUGUGUUCUAGCUCGUAAGAAGAUGAGCAUGCGCCAACCGGCGCAUGUGUGCUCGCUCGUUAGUGGAGGCUCGCUCAUAUGUAGAGGAGCACGAGCCAGCCGGCGCAUGUGUGCACGCUGGUAAGCAGAGGGGUAUGCGCCAGCCCGCGCAUGUGUGCUCGCUCAUAAGGGAGAAUGAGCGUAUCGCAACUUACGUGCUCGUAUGUAGAGCAGCAGACUUGCUUUGAGACUGAGAUGCACGUAUGUAAAGGAGCAUGCGCUCGUGGCGACUUACGUACUCGUAUGUAGACCACCAGGCUCGGAAGGAGACUGGUGUGCUCGUAUGUAGAGCAGCAGGCUGGCAUGGAGGCUGGGGUGCUCGUAUGUAAAGGAGCAUGCGCGUACGGCGACUUACGUGCUCGUAUGUAAAGCAGUAGACUCACAUUGAGACUGAGAUGCUCGUAUGAAAAGGAGCAUGCGCGCAUGGCGUCUUACAUGCUCGUAUGUAGAGCAGCAGGCUCGCACGGUGACAGAGAUGCCCGUAUGUAAAGAAGCAUGCGCUUAUGGCGACUUACGUGAACGUAAGUAAGGGAGCAUGUGAGUAUGGCGACUUACGUGCUCGUAUGUAGAGCAGCAGGCUCGUAAGGAGACUGGUAUGCUCGUAUGUGGAGCAAUAGACUCGCAUGGAGACUAAGAUGCUCGUAUGUAAAGGAGCAGGUGUGCUCGCUCAUAUGUAAAAGAGCAUGUGUCGGCCGGCGCAUGUGUGUUCGCUCGUAAGUAGAGGCUUGCUCGUAAGUAGAGGAGCAUGCGCCAACCGGCGCAUCUGUGAUCGCUCGUAAUUGGAGGCUCGCUCGUAUGUAGAGGAGCAUGCGCCAGCUCGCACGUGUGUGCUCGCUCGUAAUCAGAGGAGCAUGCGCUAGCCGGCGCAUGUGUCCUCGCUCGUAACUAAAGGAGCAUGCUCGAUCGUAAGUAGAGGAGCAUGCGCCAGCGCAUGUGUGCUCGCCCGUAUGUGGAGGCUCGCUCGUAAGUGUGUAUAGGAGCAUGCGCCAGCGGGCGCAUGUGCGCUCGCUCUUAAGUGGAGGCUCGCUCGUAAGUAUGUUGAGGAGCAUGGGCCAGCCGGGGCAUGUGUGCUCGCUCGUAAGUGGAAGCUCGCUCGUAAGCAGAGGAGCAUGCGCCAGCCGACGCAUGUGUGCUCGCUCGUAAGGAGAGGAGCAUGCGCCAGCCGGCGCAUGUGUGCUCGCUCGUAAGCAGAGGAGCAUGCGCCAGCCGGCGCAUGUGUGCUCGUUCGUAAGCAGAGGGUCACUCGUAAGUAUGUAGAGGAGCAUGCGCCAGCCGGCGCAUGUGUGCUCGCUCGUAAGCAGAGGAGCACGCGCCAGCCGACGCAUGUGUGCUCGUUCGUAAGCAGAGGAGCAUGCGCCAGCCGGCGCAUGUGUGCUCGCUCGUAAGCAAAGGGUCACUCGUAAGUAUGUAGAGAAGCAUGCGCCAGCCGGCGCAUGUGUGCUCCCUCAUAAGUAUGUAGAGGUGCAUGCGCCAGCCGGCGCAUGUGUGCUCGCUGGUAAGCAGAGGGGUAUGCGCCAGCUGGCGCAUGUGUGCUUGCUCAUAAGGGAGAAUGCGCGUAUGGUGACUUACGUGCUCGAAUGUAGAGCAGCAGACUCGCAAUGAGACUGAGAUGCUCGUAUGCGCGCGUGGCGACUUAUGUGCUCGUAUGUAGAGCAGCAGGCUCGCACGGAGACUGAGAUGCUCGUAUGUAAAGGAGCAUGCGCGUAUGGCGACUUACGUGCUCGUAUGUAGAGCAGCAGGCUCGCAAGGAGAC
rnacentral:lncRNA from 1 species